rnacentral:rRNA from 1 species
AUGAACGCUGGCGGCGUGCCUAAUACAUGCAAGUCGAGCGCACAGACGAGGAGCUUGCUCCUCUGACGUUAGCGGCGGACGGGUGAGUGACACGUGGAUAACCUACCUAUAAGACUGGGAUAACUUCGGGAAACCGGAGCUAAUACCGGAUAAUAUAUUGAACCGCAUGGUUCAAUAGUGAAAGACGGUUUUGCUGUCACUUAUAGAUGGAUCCGCGCCGCAUUAGCUAGUUGGUAAGGUAACGGCUUACCAAGGCAACGAUGCGUAGCCGACCUGAGAGGGUGAUCGGCCACACUGGAACUGAGACACGGUCCAGACUCCUACGGGAGGCAGCAGUAGGGAAUCUUCCGCAAUGGGCGAAAGCCUGACGGAGCAACGCCGCGUGAGUGAUGAAGGUCUUCGGAUCGUAAAACUCUGUUAUUAGGGAAGAACAAAUGUGUAAGUAACUAUGCACGUCUUGACGGUACCUAAUCAGAAAGCCACGGCUAACUACGUG